rnacentral:rRNA from 1 species
CAAUAGCGUAUAUUAAAGUUGUUGCAGUUAAGAAGCUCGUAGUUGGAUUUCUGGUUGAAGCGACCGGUCGGGCGUUGAUUCGUCUGCACUGGAGUCGGUUUUGGCCAUCCUCUAGGAAAGUGCGUCUGGUAUUAAGUUAUCGGGCGUAUGAUCCUGGUCUUUUACUGUGAAAAAAUUAGAGUGUUUAAAGCAGGCCUUCGCCUUGAAUACAUUAGCAUGGAAUAAUAAGAUAGGACUUUGGUCUAUUUUGUUGGUUUGCAGACCGAAGUAAUGAUUAAUAGGGAUAGUUGGGGGUAUUUAUAUUCCGAUGUCAGAGGUGAAAUUCUUGGAUUUAUGGAAGAUGAACUACUGCGAAAGCAUUUACCAAGGAUGUUUUCAUUAA